UCCCAUUUAGUCUAGUGGAAAUGAUUUCUGGGUUUCACCCAGGGGGCCCGGGUUCGAUUCCCGGUAUGAGAA